CAUAAUGGAAUUGGAAACCAAACAAAAGAACUCAACUUUUUAGCUCUCUUAUUGAAUGAGAAUCUAACAAGAUAAGGAACUACCUUAGAAGAACCAUUGAGAUGGAGUAGUAGAUUACUGAUUACAACAAUUGAGAAAGUUCUGAAAUUUUGUCUCUGCUUUCAUCUUCAGCAGAUCAGUAUUCAGCCAAACAGGUAUCUCAAAUUGGAAUCAUGCUUCUCAAGUGUAUAAGCUUUCCUGUUUCAAAGAAGACAAGCUCAUCCAAGAAGCACUCUUCAACGGUUAUAGAAUUGUUAUGCCAUCAAUUUUCCCUGGAAGAUCUUAAAAGAUCAACCGACAACUUCAACCAGAAAUUAAUAGUUGGAAAAGGAGGUUUUAGCACCGUAUACAAAGGAUGUCUCAAACACAAUGGUGGAUCAGACCAUACAAUUGCAUUAAAGCUCAAGUGUUGCAACUCCAACCAGCAUUUCCUUGAGUUCAUGAAGGAAAUUGAGUUGCUAUGCCAGUUUCAUCAUCCUAAUUUGAUCUCUCUUGUAGGAUUUUGCAACCAUGAAAAGAAAAAGAUUAUUGUGUAUGAGUUCAUGUGCAAUGGCUCUCUUCAUGAUCACCUAUACAAUAGGGACAAGAAACCACUAUCAUGGCAGACAAGGCUAGAGAUAUGUAUAGGAGUGGCGCGUGGACUACACUACCUUCACGCUGGAGCCAAGCGCUCUAUCUUUCAUUGUGACAUAAAACCUAGUAACAUCCUUUUGGAUAGCAAUAUGGUGCCUAAGGUCUCAGACUUUGGGCUUUCAUUGCAGGGACCACUAUCUACUUCCAAGCCAAAACCAAUUGCAGUAGAUUAUGUUGCAGGUACAUUUGGAUACUUAGCUCCUGAGUGUUUCCAACGCCUGACCGUUACAGAUAAAUGUGACGUUUACUCCUUUGGUAUGGUUCUACUUGUAAUGGUAUGCAUGAAGGAGAAGGAUUUGUUUCUUAACAAGGCCAACAUGUUAGGUAACCAACAUUUGGAGGGGAAGAGUGAAAUCAAAUACUUAGAAAAGUUCAUUGAUGAUCAAGUUCAACCAUGGAAUGUAAUAGCCUUUAUGCAGCGAUUCCCAAUCGAAGAGAUCAUUGAUCCAACCCUCAGGGGAAAGAUUGUACCAGAGUGCUGGGAAGUAUUCAUGGAUGUUACAAAAAGAUGUUUGAUGCAUGAACCUGAUGAACGACCAACAAUGGGUGAAGUAGAGGUGUUGCUUGAGUAUGCUUUGUUAUUGCAGGCACAAGCAGAUAUCAAAAAGAACAAUGGUUGUUAUUCUUUAUCAUCCACCACCAUUAUAAACUUAGGUGAAGUCAUUUGUAUGCAUGAUAUUCAUUUAGAAGAGCUGAUAUUCCAUCAGUUUUUGCUUGCCGAUCUUAGGCGAACAACCUUCGACUUUGAACGCAGAGUCAUCGGUAGAGGAAGCUUUGGUACAGUAUACAGAGGUCGUAUCUUACUAAAUGGAGCUACUUAUCAUUCAAUUGCAAUUAAGAAGUUGGAUUGGUUAUCUAUAUGUGAUAGUGAUAUACAGUGGAAUUUAAAAGAUAUUGAGAAUAUUUCCCAACUUCGCCAUCCUAAUUUGGUCUCUCUUUUUGGAUUCUGUGAUGAACUUGAUGAGAAGAUUCUUGUAUACAUGUAUAUUCCCAAUGGAUCUCUCCAUUAUCACUUAAAUUGGAAUGAAGAAGCUCUAACAUGGAAGAAAAGACUAGAAAUAUGCAUUGGAGUAGCAGAAGGAUUGAGCUACCUUCACACAGCAUCUAUUUUUCACCAUAACAUAAAACUCAGCAACAUCCUUUUGGAUUAUGAUAUGUUGCCCAAACUCUCAGAUUUUGGGCUCCCCUGGUCCAAGAAAAUUCAUGCAGAAGAUUAUGCUGCUCCGGAGUUGUUACAAGGACAUGAUUUCACAGAUAAAUGUGAUGUUUAUUCGUUUGGUAUAGUUCUCUUAAAAGUUGUAUUAACAAACAAGCUACCAAUUGUUGAAGGGGUUAUUUAUCUCAAUCUAGAGGGAAAGAUUGCACCACAGUGUUUGGAAGUAUUCUUGAAUAUCACAAAAUGCUGUUUGAAGUAUGAAGCAAAUGAGAGACCAACAAUGAAUGAAGUGAAAACUCAACUUCAACAAGCUCUGGCACUGCAAGAGGAGGCAGAUUCCAGCACAAGUGGUGAUUACAACUUGUUAUCUGUGAUCUUUGAUCCUCCGGUUGGUGGAAGCAUAUAUUAUUAAGAACAUUGCAAGUGUGAGAAGGGAUUGAGAAUUGAAAAAGUAAAUUUUAUAAGCUAAAUAGUAUAUAAUAAUAUGAAUAAUGUGAACCGCUUAUAUGGUUCUAUCCUUUUUGGUAAUUUCACCUCUCACAGAAGAACACCCUUCUUUGAUAUUUCUGCCACCACCUUCAGUGUCUCAAAUUGUCAUAAUGGUUCUGAAAUGUUUAUGCUUUGGUGAUUGGAAGAAGGGGAAUGCAAGUUGUUCAUCUAAGAAACAAUAUCCAACAGUUAUAGAAGAGCUAUGCCAUCCCUUUUCCUUUCAUGAUCUUAGAAAGUCAACCAACAACUUUGACCAGAAACUAAUAAUGGAAGAAAAGACUAGACAUCUGCAUCGGAGUAGCACAUGCUCUACACUACCUUCACUCUGGAGUUAAGCUGGCUAUCUUUCAUCGUGACAUAAAUCCAAUUAAUAUUCUUUUGGAUAAGAAUAUGAUGCCAAAACUUGCCAUAAUGUGUUGAACUACUUAAUUCAACAUGAAGAGCACAUUCUUGAGGAGACACUAGAUCCAAUUCUGAAAGGAAAGAUUGCGCCAGAAUGUUGGCAAGUAUUCACUAGUGUCAUACAAUGUUGCUUGGAGUACGAAGCAGAUGAGCGACCAACAAUGGGGGAAGUAGAGGUAUUGCUUGAGCAUGCUCUCUCGUUGCAGCAACAAGCUGAUAUUAUAACGAAUGCUGCUCGCUAUACCUUAUCAUCCAUUACCCCUUGUUAUUGUCAACAGCCAUAUAAUGAUCAUGAAUCACUACCCAGAUAGUGCUGGAUAUUUUUUUACUCCAAUCAUUAGACUUCAACAGCUACACUCACCAAAUCAAUAGGUUUUAUGGCUGCUCUGUUUUCUUUUCUUUAUUCUCGCUCUAAAAACACAGUACUUAUAGAUCUAACAUAGGUUUGCACUAAAUGAGGCGUAUCCUGUUGCACUUGAUUUGUGGUGAUCUAUCGAUCAAUAUGUAACAUAUCAAAUAGAUUAAGCAAAGAAAGAA